UACGUAGGGUCCGAGCGUUGUCCGGAAUUAUUGGGCGUAAAGGGCUCGUAGGCGGUUUGUCACGUCGGGAGUGAAAACUCAGGGCUCAACCCUGAGCGUGCUUCCGAUACGGGCAGACUAGAGGUAUGCAGGGGAGAACGGAAUUCCUGGUGUAGCGGUGAAAUGCGUAGAUAUCUGGAGGAAUACCGGUGGCGAAGGCGGCAUCCUGGACCGACAUUGACGCUGAUGAGCGAAAGCUAGGGGAGCAAACGGG
rnacentral:rRNA from 1 species